rnacentral:lncRNA from 1 species
GGACGUCUGAUUGGUACAUUUUCUUUUUCUUGGGAAUUUUGAUGUUAUGACAAGAUCUCUGCAUGUUAUGUUUUAAGAACUACUUGCUUUUUAUUUUUAACUAUUAAAGCUGUUAUGGCCUACAAAUGCUGUAAAACUUGACACUUCUAUUAUUAUAAACACGUUUCAUUACAAUUCUAUUGUAAUUAAACUUUCUUUUCUUCUCUUUUUGGCACUUUUGUAACGGGGCUAGUUUGCAGAGCAGACAAAUGAAAAGCACAAUGACCGUCUUUGUUUCCUUCUGGCUUUAUGUCAGCAUAGCAGGCUUGCAGCUCUCUACGGUAAGCAUGUUCUGUUUAUUUUUUUUCACUAAAUCAAUAAAAUAUUUUUAUUAUAAGAUUAAUUUUAAGAAAAAAUAUUGAUCUCAUGGAUUUAGAGUUGGAUUAUGUUUGGAAUUGGAAUAAUGUGUUCAUGCACAUAUGAUGUUUGAUGAAGUUCGCAUAAGAUUGAUUCAAUUAUAUAAGUUUUUGAUGCUGAAUUAAAUGGAGCAAAAACUUUUAUCAAUGGGUUGAUUUCUGUUAUGCAGGUGCUGUUUUUACUGCUUUUUUUGUAGAAACACAGCACCUCAAAGUUUUCAGGCGCUGCUUAGCAGCUGUUAUAUAGUAAAAAUAACAUUUGGACUUCCAGGUGUUGUUUUUGCUACUGUUUAUGUAGAAACAAAGCUCCUGAAAGUAUUAGUGUUGCUUAAUUGUUGUUUGACUUCCAAAUGCUGUUUAACUACUGUUAUGCAGUAAAAACUUGACCUGGAAGUUUUUGGGUGCUGUUUUACUGUGGUUUAUGCAAGAAAACAGCACCUGGAAACUUUCAGGUGCAGUUUAGUUGCUGUUUAUGUAGAAAAACAACACCUGGAAGUUUGUAGGUGACAUUUUACUACUGUUUAUAAAGAAAAACAGUACCUGAAAGUUUUCUAGUGCUGUUUAGCUGUUGUUAUAUGGCAAAAACAACACCUUGAACUUUUCAAGGGUUGUUCUACUACUGUUUUUGUAAUUGAAACUACACUUGAAAAUUUUAGAUGCUGUUUUGCUGUAAUUUUGCUGCUAAAAGUGCACCUGAAAAGUUCCAGGUGCUGUUCGGAUGUUGUUUUGAAUCUUCUUUAGUUCUUUUUUCUUAUGUCUAUACUUCAUCUUUUUUUUUUCUUUGGUAAUAUGUAGGUACAAUUUUUGCAAGGUAGUAUCCAAGCACGCUGUUAUUUUUUUUUUUAUUAAGAGGUAGUAAUCUAAACUUUAGGCCUCAGUUUUUUCAUUUUCGAGUGUAUGAUGGAUAGGUAUUGGAUGUCAUAUGAAUGAUGUAGCUAAAUGCUUUUUGGUUGUCUCUAUUUUGGAAAAUGUAGUGUCAUUUAUUAUGAAAUAGUUAUUUUAUA